rnacentral:rRNA from 1 species
GUGCCAGCAGCCGCGGUAAUACGUAGGGUGCGAGCGUUAAUCGGGAUUACUGGGCGUAAAGCGUGCGCAGGCGGNUUUGUAAGCCAGAUGUNAAAGCCCCGGGCUUAACCUGGGAAUNGCAUUNGGGACUUCAAGGCUUGAGUGCGGNAGAGGAGACUGGAAUUCCUGGUGUAGCAGNGAAAUCCGUAGAUAUCAGGAGGAAUACCCAUNGCGAAGGCAGGUCUCUGGGCUGACACUGACGCUCAUGCACGAAAGCGUUGGGAGCAAACA